UUUUUACUUCCGUAAGGCAGACAACGAAUGCCUAGGAUACUGAAGCCGAAGAAGGACGUACGUGGCCACGAAAGUCGUCGGGGAGCUGCCAAGAAGCUUUGAUCCGGCGGUGUCCGAAUGGGGAAACCCCCUCUUUAUGAGGACCCCGCCUAUGGCGGGGGGGGCACGCCCUGAACUGAAACAUCUAAGUAAGGGCAGGAAAAGAAAUCAACGUUCGCGCAAGCGAGAGAGAUUCCGUAAGUAAGCGGUGAGCGAAAGCGGAACAGCCUAAACCCCGCCGCAAGGCGAGGGUGUUGCGGGAAGGCCGAGUGACCGGCAAGGGUAGUCGAACUGUCUGGAAAGGCAGGCUAUAAAACGUGACAGCCGUGUAGGCGAAACCCAAGCCGGCGUGAAGCCGAAUUCCCAAGUACCAUGAGGCACAUACCUUGUGGGAAUCCGGGGUGACCACACUCCAAGGCUAAAUACUUCAGUGUACCGAUAGUGAACUAGUACCGUGAGGGAAAGGCGAAAAGAAGGGUGAGAAACCUAGUGAAAUAGAACCUGAAAUUGUCUGCUGUCAAGCAGACGGAGUCCCGCCUUUGGCGGGAUGACGUCGUGCCUAUUGAAGAAUGAUCCGGCGAGUUUUCGUUACAUGCAUGUCUAAUCCGUCUAAAGCGGAGGAGGCGUAGUGAAAGCGAGGGUUAACAGCCCGUAUAUUGCAUGUGAUGGAAGACCCGAAACCUGGUGAGCUAACCAUGAGCAGGGUGAACCCCGUCGAAAGACGGGGGGAGGCCCGCACUCGUCAGAGUUACAAAUCUGUGAGAUGACUUGUGGUUAGGGGUAAUAUGCCAAUCGAACCAGGAGAUAGCUGGCUCUCCCCGAAAUAUAUACAGGGCAUCUUUAGGUGUCCUAUUCAAUCAAACUCCGAAUUCUUGAAAGCUACAUCUUAGGAGUCAGAACGACCCGGCUAAGCGGGCCGCUCUAAAGGGAAACAACCCAGACUGUCGUCUAAGGCCUCUAAAUGAAUGCUCAGUGUUGAACGAAGUCAAAUUCCUCAGACAGCCAGGAGGUUGGCUCAGAAGCAGCCAUCCUUUAAAGAAAGCGUAACAGCUCACUGGUCGACCUUGGAAUUUGGCGCGGAAAAUGAACCGAGGCUUAAGCAUUCUGCCGAAGACACAGAUUUUUUUGACGUUCGCGUCAAAAAAGUGGUAGGGGAGCGUUGAAGGAGCAGUGAAGUCCCUCUGUAAAGAUCGGGAUGGAGCGACUUCAAGUGAGAAUGCCGGAAUGAGUAGCGUAAGCCCGAUGAGAAUUCGGGCCGCCGAAACCCCAAGGUUUUCCCAGCCAUGUUGUUCAGCUGGGAGUGAGUCGGCACCUAAGGUGAGGCCUAAGUUGGCGUAACCGAUGGACGAGCCGUUAACAUUCGGCUACAUGAUAAGUAUCGUUAUAAAAUCAGGGAUGGACAAAAUGAGAAUAUCCGAACGCACGUAGUGAAUGUGGCGUUUAAGCAGCAAGACAGUUAGGCUUGGAAAAACCGGUCUGACGUUUAAUUGAGCUGUGAUGAGAAGUCUGGCGAGAAAUCAACGGGCAACUCGGACGGUUUUUGUUUUCCAGAAAAGAUUCGUGGUGAGAUAUUUAUUAUGCCGUACCGCAAACCGACACUGGUGGGGUGGUCGAGUAGACCAAGGCGAUCGGGAGAAGGUAGUUCAAGGAACUCGGCAAAAAAUCUGGACGUAAUCUAGAGAGAUGUCCUUCCCGCCUAUGGCGGGACGCAGCGAAAGAUUAUUCCCCGACUGUUUAACUAAAACACAGGUCUGUGCAAACUUGAAAGAGAAAGUAUACAGGCUGAGGCCUGCCCAGUGCUCGUAAGUUAAGUGGAUGGCUGAGAUUACAUCAAGGCUUGAAAUGAAGCCCGAGUGAACGGCAGCAGUAACUAUGAGCCGAAAGGCCGUUGUAGUUAAAAAAGUCGACUAUAUGCUGGAAUAUCUGGAGUAUCUAGCACUAGUUUAUUUCGGGUAUAUUUCGGAGUAGACUGAAAAUGUGUCUAGUGCAGACAAUCAGCAGGAAAGGUUAAAGACAGGACAUUUUUUGGCAGGAUUUGUUGAAGGCGAAGGAAGUUUUAAUAUUUCCAUACGCCGUAAAGCAGACUAUAAAGUAAGUUGGCAGGUGGUGUUGAGCUUUAAUGUAUCUCAACGCGAUCCAUCACUUUUAUAUUUGCUAAAACAAACUCUUGAUUGUGGGAUUAUUAAAAAACGUUUUGAUGGUGUUUAUUCGUUUGAUGUGACAACACCUGCGGACGCGAUUUAUAAAGUAAUUCCAUUUUUCCAAGAAUUUCCGCUUCGUUCAAAGGAUAAAAUUCGUAACUUUAACUUAUUUGUUAAAGUGGCGAAUUUAAUGAAGAACGGAGAACACAAAACCCAAGAAGGACUGUUUAAUAUUCUGAGCAUCAGAGAGAAAAUAAACUUGGGUAAGGGGAGGACUAGAAAAUAUUCGAUUUUCGAUGUAUUUCCCAAUCUGUCUUUAGAAUCCCCAGAGACUAUACGUCGACUUCGGCAAUCGCCGAAAUGAUAUAGUCCGGACUCCAUGGCGACAUGGAGAGACGUAACCAAUCGUCCUUUGUAACAAAUCGAACUGUUCUAUGGUAGCGAAGUUCCUUGUCGGGUAAGCGGCGGAAGCAAGCCCGACGUAAAAAACUGACUCAUAUCGGUGGAGCCUCUUGACCUUCGGGUUUUAUAAGGUCAGGAUGGUAAUACCGAGGGAAGUCGUCCGGUUGAUAACUGGAUUGACCCCGUAACGACUUAGGAUGCACGUACAUCCUGGAGGCAUUAUGCCUAACACGUCAGUAUCACGGAAUGUUUGCUGGUAUCUAUCGGGUUACGCCGAUGGAGAAGGCAGCUUUUGUGUAAGUUUUUCUCCCAGAAAUAAGUUAAGGUCCAAACUUGAAGUUAGACCGAGUUUUUCGGUAUCGCAAAACGCUGAUAGAUCCGAAGUCCUUUCUCUGUUUCAACAGAUAUUGGGAUGCGGAACUAUCAGGCCAGAUAGAAGCGAUAAGACUUUAAAGUUUGAAAUCCGAAGUUUAUCUGAACUAGUUGAAAAAGUGAUACCUUUUUUUGAAAAAUAUCACUUGAUGUCUUCUAAAAGAAAAGAUUUUUCUGUAUUUUCCCAAAUUUGUCAUUUGAUGAAUGAAGGAAAUAAAAGUAAAUCGGAAUUAGAACAUAUCAUUAGACUGGCGAUGAAGAUGAAUGUUUCUGGAAAAAGAAAAUAUAACACACAUAAACUUAUAAGUAUUUUGUGAUAAAGGUAUAGUCUAUCCCAUUGGUGACAAUGGAUUUAAAGAUGAAGUUCCGACCCGCACGAAAGGCUUAACGAGGGAAUAACUGUCUUGAACUAUCACCCGGCGAAUUUGAAAUGGCUGUGAAGAUGCGGCCUAACUCUACUAGGACAAAAAGACCCUAUGGAGCUUUACUGUACCCAGGCCCUGUUUUGGAUUUUGAGAUAGUUUAGAGUAGGAGGGAGUUCUCGGACAAAAGUGAAACACCUCCCGUUUUGGAAUUUCAAAACUUACCCAGACCAGCUGGAAACGCUGGUGGGGACGAGGUCUGGAUGGCAGUUUUACUGGGGAGGUAUCCUGCUAAAAGGUAACGCAGGAGUACCAAGGUGCACUAGGCUCGGAUGGAAAUCGAGCGAGUCGUAUAACGGCAUAAGUGCGCUUGACUGCGAGAGCGACGGUUCGAGCAGGGACGAAAGUCGGUCGUAAUGAUCCUCGUUAGCCUUGUGGGAGGCUACGAGCUUAACGGAUAAAAGCUACCCUAGGGAUAACAGGCUGAUCGCCGCCAAGAGUCCAUAUCGACGCGGCGGUUUGGCACCUUAACCAAAAAGGUCAUCGGGGUGCAUGGCUAGCAAUAGCUUUAGCAAGUCUGUUUUAAUUGGUUAUUUCUGACUCAUAUCGGGGAACUCCUUGAAUUCGUGUUUGUUUCGGUUUAGUCUAGAUUAACAUGA
rnacentral:rRNA from 1 species